CCAAAUCAUGUAGCUCAGUGGCAGAACAUCCGUUUGGCAUGCAGAAGGUCCCAGGUUCAAUCCCCAGGUAGGGCUGGA